AUACGGAGGGUGCAAGCGUUACUCGGAAUCACUGGGCGUAAAGCGCGCGCAGGCGGCUUGAUAAGUUGGAUGUGAAAGCCUACGGCUCAACCGUAGAACUGCAUCCAAAACUGUCGGGCUAGAGUGUGGGAGAGGAAGAUGGAAUUAGUUGUGUAGGGGUAAAAUCCGUAGGGAUAACUAGGAAUACCAAAAGCGAAGGCAAUCUUCUGGAACACUACUGACGCUGAGGCGCGAAGGCGUGGGGAGCAAACAGGAGUAGAAACCCGAGUAGUCC
rnacentral:rRNA from 1 species